rnacentral:rRNA from 1 species
GUGGGGAAUUUUGGACAAUGGGCGCAAGCCUGAUCCAGCAAUGCCGCGUGCAGGAAGAAGGCCUUCGGGUUGUAAACUGCUUUUGUACGGAACGAAAAGGCUCUGGUUAAUACCUGGGGCUCAUGACGGUACCGUAAGAAUAAGCACCGGCUAACUACGUGCCAGCAGCCGCGGUAAUACGUAGGGUGCAAGCGUUAAUCGGAAUUACUGGGCGUAAAGCGUGCGCAGGCGGUUUUGUAAGACAGAGGUGAAAUCCACGGGCUCAACCUGGGAAUUGCCUUUGUGACUGCAAGGCUGGAGUGCGGCAGAGGGGGAUGGAAUUCCGCGUGGAGCAGUGAAAUGCGUAGAUAUGCGGAGGAACACCGAUGGCGAAGGCAAUCCCCUGGGCCUGCACUGACGCUCAUGCACGAAAGCGUGGGGAGCAAACAGGAUUAGAAACCCGUGUAGUCC